rnacentral:rRNA from 1 species
UUUUAUUAGUCCUUAUUAAUAAUAUAAUCUGCUCAAUGAAUCUUAAAUAGCCGCAGAAUCUGUGCUAAGGUAGCAUAAUCAUUUGUCUUUUAAUUUAAGACUAGAACAAAAGAUUAAACAUUUUAAUUUUUUUAUUUAAAAUUUUAUUUAAAUUUAUCCUAAAUGUAAAAAGACAUUUAUUUAAAAGAUAGACAAUAAGACCCUAUUGAACUUUACUAUUGUUUUACUGGGGAAGUAAUUAAAUUAUUAACUUUUAUUAUUAUAUUAUAAUAAAUAUCUAAUAUUAUUAAUAAUUCAGUUACCAUAGGGAUAACAGCAUAAUAAAAUUUUAAAGCUCUUAUAAAAAAUUAAGUUUAUGACCUCGAUGUUGAAUAAUACCCUUUUUAAAGUAAAAUUUAAAUUAGGAAGUCUGUUCGACUUUUAAACAAUUACA